UCUCGCGAGAAGGGCCGUUUGGUGUCGUUGUUCUUCAGAAGCGCUUUCGUUUCUCCCACAUAGAAACCGCUGAUCAUCAGAUCUGGUCAUCUCGCAGGUGGUUGUAAACCAUAUUUAGAGGAAUCAUGGAGGAAUCGCAAGCCAAGCUUUUCCUGGAGGGAAACCGAAGUGCGGUGGUAAAUGGUGUGCGAGAAGUCAAACGCUUGGUUGAUUUUCUGAUGGAGAAGAAAUAUUUACGUGGAGAAAUGCCAAACGAAAUUCUCAGCCAGAAAACCAAGCAAGAUCAGAUGCGUGAACUUUAUAAACAUCUCAACACCAACACAGGGUUCAAGUUGACACUGGAAUGGUUGAGAGAAAAUGAGCCUGAUUUGAUUAAAGAUUUGGAGGCAGCGGCUUUCAGAAGUGGUUCUGAGCCCAUGCAGCACCACCUGAAGGCCCAAAGAUCACAGCCAGCAAAUACCGGUCAUCUCUGAAUCUUUUAAGGUUAUUAUGUUCUGCAGACGACUGAGAAACGUUGUUCUUGGAUUGAGUAUUUGAUCAUGCUGUCUUUCACAGAGUGGUGAACCCCUCCUCAUCUUUACUUCUGAAAGACUCGGCCUGUCUGGGGUGC